AGCUCUAAGGUGUUUUCCACAUGUAAGAUUGCAAAUCUUAAGAGGCAGACUAAUCCUCUGCUAGGGCUU
rnacentral:tRNA from 1 species